CUUCCCUCCAACUCCCCCAUUUUAGCUAUCAGAUUCAUUUCAUUACUCUUCCCAUCACCACAGUCCUCUCACUUUCCUUCCUGAUCUCCAUCAGCCAUGGCAUUUCGCUUUUAUAAUUUGGCCUGGGUUAUGAUUUCAUCGCACUCCAAUGCCCUCUCCGCCCACUGCCGUUUCGCCUCCAUGCUGCACCACCACAUCUUCCAAACCUAAAGUCUGAGCAAAGCAAAUUCGCUCAGCACGAAUGGGUAUUCCUUCUCUCCAUUUCAAUUUGUAGCUAAUGGGUAAAACCCAAAUUGGGAAUUCAUUUUGGGGUUUCUUUUUUAUCUGAGGAUGAACACGCACCAAGUUUUCAAGACGCGAGCCCAACACCUGCAGUCGUAGUAGUAGUCAUUGUAAUCGACGGUGGUGGAGGAGUCAGAGUCAUCAGGACGC
rnacentral:lncRNA from 1 species